CUCGUGGAUAAGUGGAUAGUUCUUAAAAUUACUAUUCAGGAUUAUGUUAAAAUUUAACGUGUUUGUCUUUACAAAUACUGCAAUAUUGUUAAAAUUACUAUGCCAUCAAUCGAUAAAUUUUACUAUCAUGAGAAGUCAAGAGCACUGUUGCACUGCAUUGAAGAUAAAUACAAGAUCGGUAAUUUUUAAUGAACAAUGUUGUCAUUUUUACUAUGUGCAUGGUAAUUUUAACAACAAAACGUAGUAAUAAUGACCCCUCCAACUUGGAUGUUUUUCUCCGUCAACUUGUGAAGGAUUAACAUCAGCGCGGAUAUAAAAGACUUUUGUUUUGUGUUUUGGACGUAAUAUUAAGCAAUGUUUUUAUAGUAACUAUUCUACCCAUGCUGCUAUUAAUCCAGAAUUUCCAGAAUUGAUUGCAUCGUGCAAUUUCCAGACCCAAAUAAGUGAUCCAAAAUAUAAUUUAAGACUACUUCAUUCUACUUUUAUUGAAAAUUUGAGCGAUGGUGAGCAGAUUCUGCAUGUGCCGCCAUGUUCCAUCAGAGAUCAAUG